rnacentral:rRNA from 1 species
CGAACGCUGGCGGCGUGCCUAACACAUGCAAGUCGCACGAGAAAAGGACUUCGGUCCCGAGUAAAGUGGCAGACGGGUGAGUAACACGUGGGUAACCUGCCCUCGAGUGGGGAAUAACCCAGGGAAACUUGGGCUAAUACCGCAUGACAUCGUCUUUUCCCUGGAAGAGAUGAUCAAAGGUGGGGAUUGAAAGACCUACCGCUCGAGGAGGGGCCCGCGCCUGAUUAGCUUGUUGGUGAGGUAACGGCUCACCAAGGCUGCGAUCAGUAGCCGGCCUGAGAGGGUGAUCGGCCACACUGGAACUGAGACACGGUCCAGACUCCUACGGGAGGCAGCAGUGAGGAAUCUUGCGCAAUGGGCGAAAGCCUGACGCAGCAACGCCGCGUGGGUGAUGAAGGCCUUCGGGUCGUAAAACCCUGUCAGGUGGGAAGAACUGGCGGCGGGUUAACACCCCGUCGUCUUGACUGUACCACCAGAGGAAGCCCCGGCUAACUCC